CUCCAAUCUCCUCUCUGUGCCAAGCACGCUCCGUAGGAAGACAAGUCAAUGCCAGCUUGCACGUCUAAGCCAUAGCCAUCAUUCUAUUGUAUUUCUAACAGAGGAGCAGACACAUGGAGAGAUGGAAAUGGGGAAACAAAAACAAUGAAGUUUCAGCCUGGCCUGACUAGAAAGUAAUAAGUGCUGCCAUCCUAUCAACACGAGUUUGCCUUCUCUAGUGAAGCUCUUAAAUCACACAAAAACACCUUCACAAGCAACUAAGUGCUGUAAUCCCUGUGACUGCCAAAGCUCAUCCUACUUCUCACCAGCUGGACUUUCCUUGGGGCUGGGAACUUACAGCCACUUGAGUCCUUCUUCUGGGAAAAAACGUCCCAUAGAGUGCUUCCCA